AGAACACAUCCCAACCAAAAGAUCAGACCCUCCAGCUCUGCAGACAACAGAAUCAUCUACAACCCGUAAAGUUCUCCAUUCAGAUCUGAUUGCCAUUGUGGUAGUGUGUCUGGCCUUGUUACUGAUACUUGUGCUUGUAUUUAUACUGUGCAAAUACAAACUCCCAAGGACACAAGUGUGUUGUGCCGCAGAGCAGAGGACAAACGAUGAACACGACACAGAGGUGUGUGCGCGUUUGUGUUUAUGAGUUUGCACAUGCGAACUACAAUUGCA